GACAGAGGGUGCAAACGUUGUUCGGAAUUACUGGGCGUAAAGCGCGUGUAGGCGGCCAUCUAAGUCGGGCGUGAAAUCCCACGGCUCAACCGUGGAAGUGCACUCGAAACUGGAUGGCUAGAGUCCUGGAGAGGAAGGUGGAAUGCUUGGUGUAGAGGUGAAAUUCGUAGAUAUCAAGCGGAACACCGGUGGCGAAGGCGGCCUUCUGGACAGUGACUGACGCUGAGACGCGAAAGCCAGGGGAGCAAACGGG
rnacentral:rRNA from 1 species